rnacentral:rRNA from 1 species
UGAGGAAUAUUGGUCAAUGGGCGAGAGCCUGAACCAGCCAAGUAGCGUGCAGGAUGACGGCCCUAUGGGUUGUAAACUGCUUUUAUAAGGGAAUAAAGUGGGUCUCGUGAGACUUUUUGCAUGUACCUUAUGAAUAAGGACCGGCUAAUUCCGUGCCAGCAGCCGCGGUAAUACGGAAGGUCCGGGCGUUAUCCGGAUUUAUUGGGUUUAAAGGGAGCGCAGGCCGUGGGUUAAGCGUGUCGUGAAAUUCCGUCGCUCAACGGCGGACGUGCGGCGCGAACUGGUCCACUUGAGUACGCGGGACGUUG